rnacentral:rRNA from 1 species
UAAGGUUAAGUUAAUAAGGGCGCACGGUGGAUGCCUUGGCACUAGAAGCCGAUGAAGGACGUGACUAACGACGAAAUGCUUUGGGGAGCUGUAAGUAAGCAUUGAUCCAGAGAUGUCCGAAUGGGGGAACCCGGCAACUAAUGGUUGUCACUCAUUACUGUUAAGGUAAUGUAGAGGAAGACGCAGUGAACUGAAACAUCUAAGUAGCUGCAGGAAGAGAAAGCAAACGCGAUUGCCUUAGUAGCGGCGAGCGAAGAGGCAGGAGGGCAAACCGAUGUGUUUACACAUCGGGGUUGUAGGACUGCGUUGUGGGACGACAAGAUUAUAGAAGAAUUACCUGGGAAGGUAAGCCAAAGAGAGUAACAGCCUCGUAUUCGAAAUAGUCUUUAACCCUAGCAGUAUCCUGAGUACGGCGAGACACGAGAAAUCUCGUCGGAAUCUGGGAGGACCAUCUCCUAACCCUAAAUACUCUCUAGUGACCGAUAGUGAACCAGUACCGUGAGGGAAAGGUGAAAAGCACCCCGGGAGGGGAGUGAAAUAGAACCUGAAACCGUGUGCCUACAACAAGUUCGAGCCCGUUAAUGGGUGAGAGCGUGCCUUUUGUAGAAUGAACCGGCGAGUUACGAUAUGAUGCGAGGUUAAGUUGAAGAGACGGAGCCGUAGGGAAACCGAGUCUUAAUAGGGCGAUUUAGUAUCAUGUUGUAGACCCGAAACCAUGUGACCUACCCAUGAGCAGGGUGAAGGUGAGGUAAAACUCACUGGAGGCCCGAACCAGGGCACGUUGAAAAGUGCUUGGAUGACUUGUGGGUAGCGGAGAAAUUCCAAACGAACUUGGAGAUAGCUGGUUCUCUCCGAAAUAGCUUUAGGGCUAGCGUCGAUGUUAAGUCUCUUGGAGGUAGAGCACUGUUUGAUUGAGGGGUCCAUCCCGGAUUACCAAUAUCAGAUAAACUCCGAAUGCCAAUGAGAUAUAAUCGGCAGUCAGACUGCGAGUGCUAAGAUCCGUAGUCGAAAGGGAAACAGCCCAGACCACCAGCUAAGGUCCCAAAAUAUAUGUUAAGUGGAAAAGGAUGUGGGGUUGCACAGACAACUAGGAUGUUAGCUUAGAAGCAGCUAUUCAUUCAAAGAGUGCGUAAUAGCUCACUAGUCGAGUGACCCUGCGCCGAAAAUGUACCGGGGCUAAAACAUAUUACCGAAGCUGUGGAUACCUUUUAGGUAUGGUAGGAGAGCGUUCUAUGUGUGAUGAAGGUGUACCGUGAGGAGUGCUGGAACGCAUAGAAGUGAGAAUGCCGGUAUGAGUAGCGAAAGACAGGUGAGAAUCCUGUCCACCGUAAGACUAAGGUUUCCAGGGGAAGGCUCGUCCGCCCUGGGUUAGUCGGGACCUAAGGAGAGACCGAAAGGUGUAUCCGAUGGCCAACAGGUUGAUAUUCCUGUACUCGAGUAUAUAGUGAUGGAGGGACGCAGUAGGCUAACUAAAGCGUGCGAUUGGAAGUGCACGUCUAAGCAGUGAGGUGUGAUAUGAGUCAAAUGCUUGUAUCUGUAACAUUGAGCUGUGAU